rnacentral:rRNA from 1 species
AACGUAGGACGCAAGCGUUAUCCGGAGUUACUGGGCGUAAAGCGCGGGCAGGCGGCUCGAUGCGUCUGAUGUGAAAUCUCCUCGCUCAACGGGGAGAGGCCAUUGGAAACGGUCGAGCUGGAGGGCAGUAGAGGUAGGCGGAAUUCCGGGUGGAGUGGUGAAAUGCGUAGAGAUCCGGAGGAACACCGAUGGCGAAGGCAGCCUUCUGGGCCAACACUGACGCUCAUGCACGAAAGCGUGGGGAGCAAACAGG